rnacentral:lncRNA from 1 species
UAAAAUAAAAAAUGGUUAUAUUAAAAAUUUAAAAUAAUUAAAAAUAAAAUAAAUAUAUAUAUUAAUAUAUAAUUCGGGCCGGGCCCGGGCCAAAAAACCCUUACCCGAGGCCCGACCCGUUUUCUAAACGGGCCUCAUUUUUUUGCCCAAGCCCAUUUUUCGGGCCUAUAUUUUUACCCAAACCCUCCCAAUUUUCGGGCGGGCCUUCGGGCCGGGCCGAACCGCCCAGCCCAUGAUUAGCUCUACUAAGGUGGCUAUAUGUGGCUUUCUCAUUCUAAACCUAAAACUUUGUAUUUAUAGGGCAAAAUUCACAUAAAAGAAAAAAAUACAAAAGUACUAUUAAUGAAUUGAAAUAAUUUUCUAGGUUUCUGGUAGAUUUGUGUCACAAACUUUUAGGUCAUUUUUGGGCACUUUUCGAAAUAUCUCCCCUCUUUAAAUCAAAUAUCUUGAAAUAUUUUAGGCAUUUUCUAUCACACCCUCAUUAGGUGAACUAGUUCUGUUUGGUAGACUACGCUGGCGAAGACUGCCUAAGUUGCGAGACUUAGAUAGGGUAAGGUUGGUAACUUCGUGGUGAAGUACUUUGUUGAACUUUGUCGAUACUGCAGCAUUCCACUGAUCAACCUUUAUCACUGAACAACCAAGUAAGUUCCUUUGUCCAUUGGUUCUGGUGCUCGUGGCUAAGGAAAUGCAUUUAAGGAGUCAAUGCAUACAAAGGUAUAAAUUGUUGACAGACCUAGAAAUCUAGUGUAUAUACAUAGUGUAAAUACUCCUUCCUUGGUGCACAAGCUUUGUAUCCAGACUAGUAUAAGAAGGCAACGGAGGGAUGUUGCAUAUUGUGAUGAAAAAAAGAUACAUGAUAAUAUGUUUUGCCCCCAAUAUGGCACUCUGCUGCAAACCGUGGCUAGUGAAAACCUGACCUUCUAGGAACACGUGUAUGUUCGAAAAAAAAGAAGGAUGUUAGGGGGUAUGAAGGUGAUAAAUGGUAAAUAGAUUUGAUAGUGGUAUGAAGAUAAGAAGUUAGCAUAAAGAAGGGAGUAUGUGGGAAAAAGAGGGACAUAUGUGUAAAAUAAGGAGUGUAUGUUGCAUGAAAUGUAAAUAGUAAGUCUGAUAGUCAUAAAAGGAUGGUUUACGAAAAUAGUAUACACGCAAAGCAGUUGUAACACCCUUCACUUGUCUCCGUUUCCAAAAUCGAAUUAUGGGAUGUUACAGUAAUAAAUAUGAACAAGAACAUGUGAAUUAAUUCAAAAUUUCAAUAAAUCAUUCACCAUAUCUCAACAUUCAAACUAAAUAUAAUUAUCAUACAAUUCCGAGCUUAAACGAGCUUAUGAAACCUCUCAAACUAAACUGGUAUCAAAUAGGGUUUUAUUAGAAAACUUAACAAAAAGUGGGAAAAAUUAAAAAAUAAGGGUCACACGGCCAUGUAUCCAGGCCGUGUGACAGACUAUGGACAUGUGUACUUGAAUCACACGACCAUGUCGCCAAGCUAUGCAACAAACUGACGUCGUGCAAGGAUGGAGUCACAGGCCGUGUCGAUAAGAUGUGUAACAAAUUGGAGCCCUGUGGACCUAAAUGCAAAGUUUUCAACUAAAAUGCACAUGGCUAUGUCUUAGACCAUGUAAUAGACUAAGACCGUGUGCCAAACUUUAUUGAACAAAUGAAUAGUACCACACGAGCGUGUGACCAGCUCGUGUGACAAACUAUAAUCGUGUGAAUCCAAAACUUCCCAAUCAAUAUAGAGCACACAACCAUGUUAAAUGCCCGAGUGUGACACACGACUGUGUUAUCCCAUGCGUGCCAAUAGGUACCCUAUAAUGCAAGUUACAAAACUAAAUUCAUAGAUAUACCAAAAGUAAGCACUUAAUCAAUCUUUAUACUUGUUCAAAAUACACAAAAGCAUACCAAAAACAUGUCAUUUUCCUAGUUCUAACUAAUAUGCCAUAAGACACCAUCACAAACAUGAAACAACACCAAAGUUCAACUCAAUUUAUGUCAAGGUAGAAAGUGACCAAACAUAAUCCAUUACACAAACCAAGUACAUUCUUCAAUAAUCUAAUAUUGACCAAGAAUGUUAAAUCUAUAACUUAUAAGUUUAAUGCCAAAACUUCCACACAUACCAUGUAAUAUCCCGUUUUCCAGUGGUAUCAGAAACGAUGGUUUCAAGACCACAUUUUGACAUGUGAAGUUGUGUUUUAUGGUUUAUUUAAUGUUUAUAAAGUUACACUAGGGUCAUAUUAAAUUUUGGUGAUGAAAUUUUAAUGUUUAGUUAGUCAAUUAAUUAAAAAUGAUCAAAUUGUAAAAGAUGUAAAAUUAGCUACAAUUGAAUUAUAGUGAUUAGAUGGAUUAAUUAUUAUUUAAGGGAGGAUUAUAUGGAAAAUUAUUCUAUAAAACAAGUUAAUGGAUGGUAAUGGGUAUUGUUUAAGCUUAAAUGAAUGUUUUAUUAAAUGGUAGUAUGGUAAUUUAAUAAUUACCAUAAAAACAAAAGAUAACAAAUUAUGUUAUCAUCUUUAUUGUUUUCUUCAUCACCGAUUGUAAUAGGGGAAAUACACCAUUUUUGGUGCUUGAAGGUUUGGCCACCAUAGCUCUGUGCAUGUAAGUAAUUUCCAACUUGUUUCUUGUAAUUUUUAUAUUUUUGAGAUCGUUGCAACUAGGUCCUACUAACCCGAAUCUUUAUUUUUGAAACUGUUAAAAUUUUGAAUGUUACCAUUAAUGAAUAUUGAUUGUUCUUGAUGUUAAUGAUGAGUUUGAAGUCUUGGUUGUGAUUUUGGACUGUUUUGUAAAUUGAUUUUUGUUAGUUUUAGUUAAAGGAUUAAAUAGUUGAAAUGUUAAAAAUCUCAUGGUAUAAUUGUGAAAUAGUGAUAUUUUAGGGUUUGUUUUGUAGCCUUACAUAUUAGCUAGAUGUUUUUAUUUUCAAAAGUGGAUAAUUUGAUGAUUUUCGGGACAAGAGACUAAAUUGCAUAAAGUGAGAAAGUUAGGGGCAACUAUGUAAUUUUUGUAAAUAGAAGGGUUCAAAUUUUAGAAUUUAUUAACAUAUGAAAUUUAAGCUAAUAAAUGAAAUAAAUUAUAUUUUAGAUCAAGAUUCUGUUGAUAUACAGGGGAAGGAAAAAUAGCAGAAUAGUUCUUAAACUUCUGUAAAUUCUACAAUUUAGCCAAGGUAAGUUCGUAAUUAUUUACUAUUCAAUGUGAUUCACUUGUAAUUUAUGUCGAUAUUAUCAUGUUAGUUGAUCUCUCUGAAUGUACAUGUGAGUAUAAUUGUUAGGAAUGCAAGUAUCAUAUUUAUAUAUAUAUACAUGAAAUUAAGAAGUAGGUAUUAAUAGUGUUUCUUGGAUAUGAAAUGUAUUGGAUGAGAUUGUAAUAAGUUUUAAUAUGAAUACGGAAAUGUGAAGUGAUUUCAUUGCACCUCGGUGCCUCUGAUAGUACAUUAGUGCCCCUGAAUGCACUUUGGUGCCCCUGAUAGCACAUUUGUGCCCCUGACUGCGCUUCAUUGCCCCUGUUUUGCAUCUAUGAUGCCUCUGAAAAUGUAUGAGGUUCGAGUAGGUGAACUGGAUAAUUUUGAACUUGAUUAAAUGAUAUGAAGAGAUCUUGAAAACUUAUAGACAAAGUAGUUGAGAAUUUUAGUUAUCAUGUUAUAAUAUUUAAGUGAUUUCUUUACUAAAAGUAAUUCAAGUAGAUUUUACCCUAUGAUCUUACUAAGCCAUUUAAACUUAAUGAAAUUUUCUCAUGUCAUUUUGUAGUUAACGGUUAUAGAUGGCUCAAAGGAUUGACAUCAAAGCUCACACUAUCCAUUUACUCUUGGUAGUUUUUAUAUUUCUUUUUGGUUGUGGCAUGUAUAAAGGUUUUGCUGUAAGAAAGUUAACAUUAGAUGUUUAUAAGAUAUGAAAAGUUAUUUAGUAUUUGUGACUAUGUUAUGUGG